UACGUAGGUGGCAAGCGUUAUCCGGAUUUAUUGGGCGUAAAGCGAGCGUAGGCGGUUUGCUAAGUCUGAUGUGAAAGCCUUCGGCUUAACCGGAGAAGUGCAUCGGAAACUGGCUAACUUGAGUGCAGAAGAGGACAGUGGAACUCCAUGUGUAGCGGUGGAAUGCGUAGAUAUAUGGAAGAACACCAGUGGCGAAGGCGGCUGUCUGGUCUGUAACUGACGCUGAGGCUCGAAAGCAUGGGUAGCGAACAGG
rnacentral:rRNA from 1 species